rnacentral:lncRNA from 1 species
GCACGUGGUUGAGAGGUGCGUGGCUGGGAAGGCAUAUGGCUGGAAGGUGGUAGCGGGAGGCGUGUGGAUGGAAGGUGAUGGUGGGAGGUGCAUGACUGGGAGGUGUGUGGCUGGGAGGCGUGUGGAUGGAAGGUGGUGGCGGGAGGUGCGUGACUGGGGAGGUGUGUGGCUGGGAGGCAUGUGGCUGGAAGAUGGUGGCGGGAGGCAUAUGGCUGGAAGGUGGUAGCGGGAGGUGUGUGGAUGGAAGGUGGUGGUGGGAGGUGCAUGACUGGGAGGUGUGUGGCUGGGAGGCAUGUGGCUGGGAG